GACGAACGCUGGCGGCGUGCCUAAUACAUGCAAGUCGAACGCAGUGGGGACGGGUGAGUAACACGUGGGUAACCUCCCAUCAGAGGGGAUAACACUUGGAAACAGGUGCUAAACCGAUCUUGAUGGAUGGACCCGCGGUGCAUUAGCUAGUUUGUGAGGUAAAGGCCCACCAAGGCCACGAGGCAUAGCCUACCUGAUGGGGUUAUAGGCCACACUGGUACUGCGACACGGCCCAGACUCCUACGGGAGGCAGCAGUAGGGAAUCUUCGGCAAUGGACGAAAGUCUGACCGAGCAACGCCGCGUGAGUGAAGAAGGUUUUCGGAUCGUACAACUCUGUUGUUAGAGAAGCGGUAUCUAACCAGAAAGCCACGUCUAACUACGUGCCAGCAGCCGCGGUAAUAC
rnacentral:rRNA from 1 species